GUGCUCACUUUGGCAGCACAUGUAAUAACAUUGGAAUGAUGUAGAAAAGAUUAGCAUGGCCUUUAUUUAAGGAUGACAUGCAAAUUUAUGCAGCAUUCUAUAUUUUU
ensembl:snRNA U6 U6 spliceosomal RNA